rnacentral:rRNA from 1 species
AGAACGAACGCUGGCGGCAUGCCUAACACAUGCAAGUCGAACGAGACCUUCGGGUCUAGUGGCGCACGGGUGCGUAACGCGUGGGAAUCUGCCCUUAGGUACGGAAUAACAGUGAGAAAUUACUGCUAAUACCGUAUGAUGUCUUCGGACCAAAGAUUUAUCGCCUAGGGAUGAGCCCGCGUAGGAUUAGCUAGUUGGUGGGGUAAAGGCCUACCAAGGCGACGAUCCUUAGCUGGUCUGAGAGGAUGAUCAGCCACACUGGGACUGAGACACGGCCCAGACUCCUACGGGAGGCAGCAGUGGGGAAUAUUGGACAAUGGGCGAAAGCCUGAUCCAGCAAUGCCGCGUGAGUGAAGAAGGCCUUCGGGUUGUAAAGCUCUUUUACCCGGGAAGAUAAUGACUGUACCGGGAGAAUAAGCCCCGGCUACUCCGCGCCAGCAGCCGC